AGAAAUAAAAAAAAAUAAAGUCGAUUGUGCGUUGGAAGGGGAAACGAAGGAUAAAGAAAUCAAAAAACUGAAGAGGGACUUGGCAUCAACAACCGAACGAUUUGAUGAACAAACAAAAAGUAAAUGAUAAGUAAAUACAUUAUUUUAAUUGUUGCUGUCAUGCGGGAGGCUGGAUUUGUACAGCUUGGGAUAAUAAAAAGCAAUAUAGCACCAAUGGCGAAUCUAUUGUCUGAUCUCUAAUUGCGUGAUAUAUAAAAAAACACGUUGACGUUUAGUCCCCCUGAAUAUCAUUCUCCUGGCAUAGAAUGUGAAGCAAAGUGCCAAAACAGCACUUGCAUCCUGUUGGUGUUCUGGGCAAUAAAAAAGUAGGAUUACAGGCAUAUUUGAAUAAACCCGAUGCAAAAUAGAACAACUCAACUGAAUAUAUAUGGACUGUUUCUGUUUGGAAAUGUAUUUUUGCCUUUUUUAGAGCAUAAAAAUGCAACUGGUCUUUGAUGAAACAAGUCGCAUUAUCAACAAGUCAAUUAUCUGGUGUGAUAAAUGUCCAUCAAUCAUGCGAUUCUAUUCUUCAAUUCUCAAUGGAGUUUACCUGAUGCAGUUUUAGUUUCGGUGUGAAAGCGGUGCACCUAAUAUUGCUCAGUUGUCAACCUACAAAUAUAGAUAAUAAGUGCAGGAGUAAUUUGGUAAAUAGUCCUGGCUUGGACAGGCCAAAUUAUCAACCGAUGAAUGUGCCUCACUUCCCCAUCGGCAGCAAUUACCUACUUUUCUCACCCCAUCGCGACAGACCAUUGUCAAAAUACGAUUCUGAACUAAAACAGAGAUGGUUGGAACAGUUGGGGCGAAGAGAGAAAACAAAAAUAACAUUCCACGUUGACUAAGUUUAAUUACAACUGCAAUUAUUGGGAACAAAUCCUUUACACUGAAGAAUAUGAGAUGCUAUACAUUAAGAGUACUUGCAAUCGUUAAUUCUUAAAGAUACAAUAUUCCGCUGGUUUCAGACCUACAGAAAGUCAACGCUGAUUGCUCCGACGAAUGUGAGAAAA